GUCGGGCGUGACCUCCCCGUGAAACAUAGUUUGCAGACUCUAGACCUUUCGGACUGAACCCCUGGCUUCCUGAACCCAGCUUCCCCUCCUUGAUGACACUUUUGGACACUGCUACUGGUUCAAAAGGAUUCUAAAUAUUUUCCAACAAUGCUGCAGAAAGUGCAAGGUCCAUCCCCUGGUAUCCAAAAAAGAACAACAAAUAAAAGUCAUCUUUCAGAGGCCCGAGGACCAGGGGUUGGAUGUGAGUGGGUCGGGCAGUUCAGGAUCUCAUAAUUGAAGAUUUAUAGAGGACACAAAACAGCAACAAAAAAUUGCAUGGAAGAAAAUGAGAAGAUCCUGCUGGAUCAGGCCAGUGGCCCAACUAGUCCAGCCUCCUGUUCUCACAACAGCCAACCAGAUGCCCAUGAGAGGUUAACAUUCAUGUUCCGCAAGGAAUGUGCUCUGCCUUAGAUUUUUAUGCCCCAUAGUCUAAUUUUCUACAGGAUACCAACUGACAGCAGUUUAGACCUGGAGUUAUCCUCAAUAGUUCUAAUGCUUUGAAAAUGGGACUGAUAAAGGAAUACCAGAGUGAACAAUGGAACUGAUGGCACAAUUGUGACUGUGACUACGGAUGCUGGACAGAGCCUGUGAUGCCUUUUCUGCGAGAUGCUCACAUGUGCAGGGCAGGGAUGGGGGGUUGGCUGUUAGAUAUUUGUGAUUAUUACAU